UUUAUGGAGAGUUUGAUCCUGGCUCAGGAUGAACGCUGGCGGCGUGCCUAAUACAUGCAAGUCGAGCGAACGGACGAGAAGCUUGCUUAUCUGAUGUUAGCGGCGGACGGGUGAGUAACACGUGGAUAACCUACCUAUAAGACUGGGAUAACUUCGGGAAACCGGAGCUAAUACCGGAUAAUAUUUUGAACCGCAUGGUUC
rnacentral:rRNA from 1 species